GAUGAACGCUGGCGGCGUGCCUAAUACAUGCAAGUCGAGCGAACAGACGAGGAGCUUGCUCCUCUGACGUUAGCGGCGGACGGGUGAGUAACACGUGGAUAACCUACCUAUAAGACUGGGAUAACUUUGGGAAACCGGAGCUAAUACCGGAUAAUAUAUUGAACCGCAUGGUUCAAUAGUGAAAGACGGUUUUGCUGUCACUUAUAGAUGGAUCCGCGCCGCAUUAGCUAGUUGGUAAGGUAACGGCUUACCAAGGCGACGAUGCGUAGCCGACCUGAGAGGGUGAUCGGCCACACUGGAACUGAGACACGGUCCAGACUCCUACGGGAGGCAGCAGUAGGGAAUCUUCCGCAACGGGCGAAAGCCUGACGGAGCAACGCCGCGUGAGUGAUGAAGGUCUUCGGAUCGUAAAACUCUGUUAUUAGGGAAGAACAAAUGUGUAAGUAACUAUGCACGUCUUGACGGUACCUAAUCAGAAAGCCACGGCUAACUACGUG
rnacentral:rRNA from 1 species